rnacentral:tRNA from 1 species
AGCAGGGUGGCUCAGCGGAAAGAGGAUGGGCUUGGGAGUCAGAUGUCAUGGGUUCAAAUCCCCUCUCUGCCA